UACGGAGGGUGCAAGCAUUAAUCGGAUUUAUUGGGCGUAAAGGGCGCGUAGGCGGAUUAACAAGUCAGAUGUGAAAUUCCGAAACUCAAUUUCGGAGCUGCAUUUGAAACUGAGAAUCUAGAGGGAUGGCGGAGAAAAUGGAAUUCCACAUGUAGCGGUGAAAUGCGUAGAUAUGUGGAGGAACACCGGUGGCGAAAGCGGUUUUCUAGCUAUUACCUGACGCUGAGGCGCGAGAGCAAGGGGAUCAAACAGG
rnacentral:rRNA from 1 species